rnacentral:rRNA from 1 species
UACGAAGGGGGCUAGCGUUGCUCGGAAUCACUGGGCGUAAAGCGCACGUAGGCGGCUUUGUAAGUUAGAGGUGAAAGCCCGGAGCUCAACUCCGGAAUUGCCUUUAAGACUGCAUCGCUUGAAUCAUGGAGAGGUGAGUGGAAUUCCGAGUGUAGAGGUGAAAUUCGUAGAUAUUCGGAAGAACACCAGUGGCGAAGGCGACUCACUGGACAUGUAUUGACGCUGAGGUACGAAAGCGUGGGGAGCAAACAGG